rnacentral:rRNA from 1 species
UCNCCUGUUUAACAAAAACAUGUCUUUUUGAAAUAAAUUUAAAGUCUAACCUGCCCACUGAAAUUUUUAAAUGGCCGCAGUAUUCUAACUGUGCAAAGGUAGCAUAAUCAUUAGUCUUUUAAUUGAAGGCUGGAAUGAAUGGUUGGACGAGAUAUUAACUGUUUCAUUUUAAUUUUUAUUAGAAUUUUAUUUUUUAGUCAAAAAGCUAAAAUAAAAUUAAAAGACGAGAAGACCCUAUAAAUCUUUAUAUUUAAUUUAUUUUUAUUAUAAAGAUUAAUUUUGUUUAAAUAAAUUUAAAUAUUUUAUUGGGGUGAUAUUAAAAUUUAAAAAACUUUUAAUUUUUUAAACCAUUAAUUUAUGAAUAAUUGAUCCAAUAAUAUUGAUUAAAAAUUUAAGUUACUUUAGGAUAACAGCGUAAAG